CAGUCGCCGCGGGAAUACGAAGGGUGCAAGCGUUACUCGGAAUUACUGGGCGUAAAGCGUGCGUAGGCGGUUAUAUAAGACAGAUGUGAAAUCCCCGGGCUCAACCUGGGAACUGCAUUUGUGACUGUAUAGCUAGAGUACGGCAGAGGGGGAUGGAAUUCCGCGUGUAGCAGUGAAAUGCGUAGAUAUGCGGAGGAACACCGAUGGCGAAGGCAAUCCCCUGGGCCUGUACUGACGCUCAUGCACGAAAGCGUGGGGAGCAAACAGGAUUAGAUACCCGUGUAGUCCCUGUCUCUUAUAC
rnacentral:rRNA from 1 species